rnacentral:rRNA from 1 species
AUUGAACGCUGGCGGCAUGCUUUACAUAUGCAAGUCGAACGGUAACAGGCCUUCGGGUGCUGCCGAGUUGCGUACGGGUGAGUAAUGCAUCGGAACGUACCCAGUGGCGGGGGGUAACGCAGCCAAAGCUGUGCUAAUACCGCAUGUGAUCUGAGGAUGAAAGCGUGGGACCGAGCAGCAAUGUUUGGCCUCGUGCCUUUGGAGCGGCCGAUGUCGGUUGAGCUAGUUGGCGGGGUUAAGGCCUACCAAGGCGACGAUCCGUAGAUGGUAUGAGAGGAAGACUCGCCACACUGUGAGUGAGACAGGGCCCAGACUCUUACGGGAGGACGCAGUGGGGAAUCUUGGGGGAUGGGGGAGAGCCUGAUCCAGCAAUGCCGCGUGCGGGAAGAAGGCGUUCGGGUUGGUAAGCGCUUUAGGCAGGAACGAAGUGGUGUCCGCUUACACCGGGCGAUAAUGACGGUACCUGCAGAAUAAGCACCGGCUAACUACGUG